rnacentral:lncRNA from 1 species
UACUUGUUGUGCUGAGAAAGAUUGAAAUUUUGUCUGUGAUGCGUGCCUUCUUUAAUUUUCUUGUCGUGACAAGAGCGUUGAUAAAUCACAUUCACGGUAGCCCGAUGCAUCCUAGCAAGUAGCAUCUCGUGUUCUUUUAGCAAGAUUAGCAUCCUAAUCAAGAGAUGUAGGUGUGGGUGGAUUACGACUGUGAAUCAAAUAGGAAAAUAACAAUGAAACAAGCAAAAAACAUAACAGAAAUGUCGAAAACACUGAGAAAAACAAAGAAAAAAAAACAACAAACAAAAAGAAAAUAAAAAAUAAAAAUAAAAUUGCACUAGAAGAAAGAGGGGACCAACCCAAAAGGAUGAAUGGAAAUCAUGUUGGAAACAAAAACACUUAAUGAUAUCAUUCAAAGAUCAUUAUGGAGAACCUCUUAGCUUAGUUUAGUCUUGCAGGUUGAACUCUUCGAUCGAUUGUAAUUAUAAACUUUGUUCUUGUUUUUGUUCUUAAGAAAUGAAAGCAUGGCUGCUGCAUUUCAUAAAAAAGGAAGAUCUAUGUUGAACUAAAAAAGAUUAUGCAUUACCUGGUUCAUCUAAAAAGAUAUGAUUUGAUUCCUCCGACAUUUAGUGAUGCUACAAUGGCAACAUCUUGUCGCUUCUUUCAUAUAUGGUAGGUGCGUUCUCACAUAAAACAUAUUGGCAUUGAUCCAUCAAUUAUUAUUUUUUACUGAAAACCAUGCAAUUAUUAUAUCUGGUCUUUAUAGAUGAAUAAUUAUGAAUUAUUUUGUUCUUCUCUAUUUAACACCUUCAUCCGCCUCCAAUAUUGACUCCGUCAGCGACAGCGGUUCAUAAAUGAUUUUAUUUGUAUCCAUUCUACUUCCGUCAAACUUUUUAUCUUAUAACGCGCGGAAGACGUAUGGUAAAGCAUCUAAUAAAUGCUUAUUUCAUCAAUAAAUAAACCCUUGCGUGCAGGCAUGUUGAGUAUGUUGAUAUUGACUCGAGAUCAUUUUUCAAUUUUUAUUUUAUUCUAUAUUUUGGUAUGAGGAUGAACUUAAUAUAUAAAUCCUAAUCCUAAUUUCCGUAUGAUAUUUUUGAGAUAAUAUUUGUUUGGAAAUUAGUUUUCAUGGAUGUCCAUGGAGUUCAUAUGAAAACCAAUUCGGUGUAUAUAGUUUCGGUGUCCUUUUCUAUUUUACUUAUAUAGUAUAAUAGAUUGCUAGUAGAAUAACAGAUGUAAAAAAAAAUACUCUGUGUAACUACCAGGAGAAGUAAUCUAUGCUUGCAUGCGUAAUCAACCUGAGCUGUGACCAGCCAAAAUGCUAAAUUGGCGAUUAUGUCAUCCCACAAUAUUUCCAUCCGUUUCGGAUUUCGACUUCCUGUGGGACUACGAUCUACAAACCAGAAGCCGCACGCAGUCGCGUUCGAGCAAAGCGACGCGUUGUCCCGGCUCGGCUUACGGUCCGAGAGCUGCUCAAACUCGUGAGUCUUGCCUCCUCUACAUAUACCACCCCCCGUCAUUACCUUCUCCUUCUAUCCUCGCUUCCUACCUACCGGCUAGUAGUCAUCUCGAUCCCCUCCUCCUCCUGCAAGAUGGCCGCCAAGCAAAGCGCCGCCGCCGCCAGGGACAUCGAAGUCGUGCUGGUGAUGCCGUGGAUGACGAGCUGCAAGCGCAUGCCCCUCUGGAGCUCCAGCGACUACGAGGAGACCGGCACGCUCAGCCAGGGCGCCCUCGGCAUCGUCGUCACGGCCCGCCACCGCGCCACAGGCGAAGCCGUCGCCGUCAAGAAGGCUCUCCCUUUUCCUCCCUCCUCCUGCAACGGCGGCACCGGCACCGACAUGAUGAGGGAGGCCGCGUUACUCGCCGCGUGCAACGGCCACGGCAACGUCGUCGGGCUCCAGGCGGUUGCCCUCGAGCCCGCCGGCUCCUCGCCCGAGAGGCUCUCCCUCGUCAUGGGCCUCGUGGGGCCCAGCCUGCACGACGUCCUCCACCACAGGCGCGGCGGCCGGCCCUUCCCGGAGGCCGAGGUGCGCCGCAUCAUGAAGCAGCUCCUGGCCGGCGCCAAGCACAUGCAUGGCCUCCGCGUCGUGCACCACGACAUCAAGCCCAAGAACAUCCUCGUGGCCCUCGCUGGUGGCGCCGGGGAUCGGAUUGAGAGCGUCAAGAUCUGCAACCUGGGGCUUGCCGUCUCCUUGUCCGAACCCACGCCGUACGAGAGGUGCGGGACGCACCGGUACAUGGCGCCCGAGGUGCUCCUGGGAAAGCUCAAUUACGACGCCGCCGUCGACGCCUGGUCGCUCGGCUGCGUGAUGCCCGAGCUCUUGUCCGGCGCACCCUUGUUCAACGGGGAAGACGACGCUGGCCAGAUGCUCUCCAUCUUCAGCGUCCUUGGCGUGCCGCUCUUCACCCUCUGGCUGGAAUACAAGUCUCUGCCGCUCACUGGCAAAGUGGUGCAACCGCCCAACAAGCUCCACCGCAACAAGAUGCGCCAGCAUUUUCUGAAGGAACGUCUCUCCGAAGAAGGCUUCGAAGUCCUGCAGGGGCUCCUUUUUUGCAACAUCGACAAGAGGCUGUCGGCCGCCACCGCGCUCAGGCGGCCCUGGUUCACCAAGAACGUCGUCUACGCCCAAGUUUGAGCCGCCGCUACAAAGAUUUCUUUUGGUUUUCUCCAUAUUUAUGUUGUGAACAUUAAUGGAUCAUUGCAUUGGAUUCCAAAUGUGCAUUGUACUUGUUGUGCUGCGAAAGAUUGAAAUUUUGUUUGUGAUGUGUGCCUUCUUUAAUUUUCUUGUCGUGACGAGAGCGUUGAUAAAUCACAUUCACGGUAGCCCGAUGCAUCCUAGCAAGUAGCAUCUCGUGUUCUUUAGCAAGAUUAGCAUCCUAAUCAAGAGAUGUAGGUGUGGGUGGAUUACGACUGUGAAUCAAAUAGGAAAAUAACAAUGAAACAAGCAAAAAAGAUAACGGAAAUGGCGAAAACACUGAGAAAACAAAGGAAAAAAAACAACAAACAAAAAGAAAAGAAAAAAGAAAAGAAAAUUGCACUAGAAGAAAGAGGGGACCAACCCAAAAGGAUGAAUUGAAAUCAUGUUGAAAACAAAAACAUUUAAUGAUACAUUAUGGAGAAACUCUUCGUGAGACAUGUGGCAUUAACAGCGCAU